GUAUGCGAUGAUUAAUUAUUAAUUCCCCUAUUGGUUUGAUGGGCCAACAUGAUGGCCUAAAUACUGAACCGAAUCUGACCAUCC
rfam:Triticum urartu cultivar G1812 contig307009, whole genome shotgun sequence.